CCGGAGAUGGGUACUGAGACACGGACCCAGGCCCUAUGGGGCGCAGCAGGCGAGAAACCUUAGCAAUGUGCGAAAGCACGACUGGGUCAGUCCGAGUGAUUCCUGAUAAAGGAGUCUUUUGCCUGUCCUAAAAGCACAGGUGAAUAAGGGGUGGGCAAGUCUGGUGUCAGCCGCCGCGGUAAUACCAGCACCUCGAGUGGUCAGGACGUUUAUUGGGCCUAAAGCAUCCGUAGCCGGCUCUGCAAGUCUUCGGUUAAAUCCACCUGCUCUACAGAUCGGCCGCUGGAGAUACCACAGAGCUAGAGAGGGGGAGAGGCAGACGGUAUUCAGUGGGUAGGGGUAAAAUCCUCUGAUCCAUUGAGGACCACCAGUGGCGAAGGCGGUCUGCCAGAGCACGUUCGACGGUGAGGGAUGAAAGCUGGGGGAGCAAACCGGAUUAGAUACCCGGGUAGUCCCAGCUGUA
rnacentral:rRNA from 1 species